rnacentral:rRNA from 1 species
UACGAAGGGGGCUAGCGUUGCUCGGAAUCACUGGGCGUAAAGCGCACGUAGGCGGCUUCUUAAGUCAGGGGUGAAAUCCUGGAGCUCAACUCCAGAACUGCCUUUGAUACUGAAGAUCUUGAGUCCGGGAGAGGUGAGUGGAACUGCGAGUGUAGAGGUGAAAUUCGUAGAUAUUCGCAAGAACACCAGUGGCGAAGGCGGCUCACUGGCCCGGUACUGACGCUGAGGCACGAAAGCGUGGGGAGCAAACAGG